CCUGGCCUCAAGUGUUCUGCCUGCCUUGGCCUCCCAAAGUGCUAGGACUACAGGUGUGAGCCACCACACCUGGACACUUUUAUGUAUAUGAAUCUUUAACACGUCUCUUUUUGUGUUUGAGAGUUCUUUGAUCCAUCUGAAGUCUAUCCACCAACGCUUGAAAUGCCACCCAUAUUAGUACUAAAUGUCUACAUGAAUUUUAACCUAUUUCUUCUAGGAUCUGAUUUUCAUGUACCUAAUGCAGUUUUAAAUUUUUAUUUUUUAUUGUCUUAUUUUGUAGUUUUAAGUUGCUGUACUUGGAUAUUUAUAUUUUCAUAACUGCUAAGGGGAAGUUAAACUCUCAUUACUCUUUCAGGAUUUUCCUGGUUUUUUUUUUUUUUUUUUGCAUUUUUUUUCCCCAUAUGAGCUUUAAAAUUAGCUUGUCUGGUUCUUGAGGGGAAAUUGGUACUUUUAUCAAGAUCAAGUUAAAUAAAUAGAUUAAUAAGAACAGGCUUAAUCAUACGGAGGCUUCUAUCCAAAAACAUGGCUAUAUGUCUUUUUUUUGAGAUGGGGUCUCACUCUGUCACCCAGGCUGAAGUGCAGUGGUGCAUUCUUGGCUCACUGAAACCUCUGCCUCCCGAGUAGCUGGGAUUACAGGCUCCCACCACCAUGCCCAGCUAAUUUUUGUAUUUUUAGUAGAGACGGGGUUUCACCAUGUUGGCCAGGCUGGUCAUGAACGGUUAUGUGUUUUUCCAUUUGUUCCAAUGGUCUUUGUAUGUCUCAGUUUUCAAAUUUUUACCAUUUAUGUCUCGCAUAUUUUUAAAGGUUUGUCUCUUGGAUGUUUUAAGUGGGAUUCUUCUCCUGCUAUACUUUGUAACUAGUUGUGUAUAGAAAAGCUAUUGAUUUCAGCUAUCUUGUUGAAUUAUCAUGGGGGAAUAUCUUUUAUUUGACUCUUUUGAUAUACCUGGAAAAAUAUUGUUUGGCUACUUAAUUUUUACACUUAUUCUUGUUUAAAUGCUCUGAAAUAUCCAGAAUAUUAAAUAUGGUGGGAGUAAAAUUGCUUGUCUGAAUCCUAAACAAUAUGUCCAUUGUUUGAUUUAGCAUAAUGUUGGAUUUUUUUUAAUUAAUCAGGAAUCCAUCUAUUCCUGUUUUAAGAAUUUAUAUCAAAAAUGAGACAGGCACAGUGGUGUGCACCUAUAGUCCCAGCUAUUUGGCAGGCUGAGGCAAGAGGAUCACUAGAGCCCAGGAGUUCAAGGCUAUGAUGCACUAUUAUCGCACCUGUGAAUAGCCACUGUACUCCAGCCUGGGCAAUAUAGUGGGAUCCUGUCUCUAAAAAAAGAAAAAGAACUAUACAUAUUUUUGUUGUUUCAUCAAAUAAAACUUGUUUAUUUUCAUUUUUCUCUUUCCUUUGUUAUAUACAUGUCUGUAUCCUCUUAUGUUCUUUUUAUUGUAUAUAUUUAAUAUGUUCAAUGUUUUGAUAUACUUGAUAUAUACAGUGAUUACUAAGAUCAAGCAAAUUAACAUACCCAUCAUAACAUACCCGUGUAUGUGAUAAGAGUACCUAAAAUCAACUCUCUUGGCAAGUUACCAGUAUAUGAUACAAUUUUAUUAACUAGAAGCCCUCAUGUUGUCUAUUAGAUCUCUUAGGCUUGUCCAUCCCACAUAACUGCAACGUUGACUUGCCUCUUCCCAUUUCCCCCACCCCUGGUAACCACUAUUUUACUGUUUUUGUUGUUGUUGAUGAUGUUUGUUUUUAAGAUUCUACAUAUAAGUGGGAUCAUGCAGUAUUUUUCUUCCUGUGUUUAGCUUAUUUCAUUUAACAUGAUGUCUUCCUCCAGCUUCAUCCCUGUUGUUGCAAAUGGCAGGACCUCCCUUUUUAAUGCUGAAGUUCCAUGUUUCAUACCAUUGUGGUCAGAAAAGAUACCGCCCUAAUAUAUGAUCUGUCCUGGAGAAUAUUCCAUGUAUGCUCGAGAAGAAUGUGUAUUCUGCUGUUGGAUGGAAUCUCCUGUAUAUGGUAGGUCCAUUUUGUUUAAUGUGUAAAAUCUGAUGCUUUCUUAUUGAUUUUUUUUUUUUUUUUUGGCCUUGAUCUGUCCAUUACUGAAAGUGGGAUAUUGAAAUCCCCUACUAUUAUUGUAUUACAGUCUGUCUCUCCAUUCAGAGCUAUUCAUAUUUGCUUUCUAUAUUUAGGUGCUCAGAUAUUGAGUGAAUAUUUACAGUUGUUAAGUGACCCCUUUAUCAUUAUACUGUGACCUUGUCUCAUUUUACAGUUUUGACUUAAAGUUUGUUUUAUCUAAUGUAAGUAUAGCUCUCUUGUUCUCUUUUGGUUUCUAUUUGCAUGAAAUGCCAUUUUCCAUUCCUUCACUUUCAGUCUCUAUGUGUCCCUUACAGGUUAAAUGAGACACUUUUUGGCAGCAUAUAGUUAGAUCUUUUUUUUUUUUUUAAUCCAGCCACUCCGUUUUUGGAUUAUGGAAGAGUUAAACCAUUUACAUUCACAGUAAAUGGAUUGGAGAAUUUAAUCCAUUUACAUUCACAGUAGUAACUCCUUACCUAUCCCUGUUGGUAGGUAAGGAGUUACUACUGCAAUUUUGUUGUUUUCUGGUUGUUUUGUAGAUCCUUUGUUUCUCUCUUACUGUCUUCCUUUGUGAUUUAUUUUCUUUAGAGGUAUGCUUUGAUUCCUUUUUAUCUUUUGCAUAUCUGCUAUAGGUUUUUGCUUUGUGGUUAUCAUGAAGCUUAUGUAAAACACAGUGAUAGCAGACUAUUUUAAGCAGAUAACUUUGAUUGCAUUAAAAACUAUACUUUAUUCUCUCUCCCACAUUUUGUUUUUGAGGUCACAAUUUACAAGUUUUAUAUUUUGUAUCCCUUAACAAAUUAGCUAUUAAUAGUUUUAUCUUUUAACCUUUAUACUAAAGAUAAGCAAUAUAUAUACCACCAUUACAGUAUUAGAGUAUUCUUGAGUUUGACAUUAUGCUUUUACCAGGUUUAUACUUUCAUAUGUUUUCAUGUUACUAAUUAACAUCCUUUUCUACCAGCUUGAACUCCCUUUCACAUUUUUUUGUAAACACAGAGCUGGUGAUGAUGAAAUGCUUCAGCUUUUGUCUGUCUGGGAAUGUCUUUUUCUCCAUUUCUGAAGUUUUGCUGGAUAAAGUAUUCAUGGUUGGCAAUUUGUUCUCCUUUAGCACUCUGAAUAUAUCAUCCUACUCUCUCCUGGCCUGUAAGGUUUCUGCUGAGAAGUGCUAGCCUUAUUGGAACUCCCUUAUAUGUGAUCUGCUUCUUUUCUCUAGCUGCUUUUAGGAUCUUCCCCUUUGUCUUUUGAUUUUUGACAAUUUCAUUAUAAUGUGUCGUGGUAUAGUUUUGUUCAUACUGAAUCUGAUUGGAGACUUUUGAUACUCUUAUACCUGGAUAUUUAUAUCUUUCUCCAGAUCUGGAAGGUUUUCUGCUACUAUUUUGUGAUUUAUUUCUUUCUUCUCCUUACUGAACUUCUAUAACUCAAAUAUUUGCUCUUUUGAUGCUGUCCUAUAAAUCCCUUAAGCUUUCUUCAUUCCUUUUCAUUCUUUUUGUUCUUCUGGCUAUAUUUUCAAAUAAUCUGUCUUUGAGUUCAUAGAUUCUCUGCUUGAUCAAUUCUGUUGAUGCUCACUAUUCCAUUUUUCAUUUCAUUCAUAUUAUUUUUCAGCUUCAGAAUGGUUUGUAAAAAAUAUAUAACUUCAAUCUAUUAGGUUUCUUGAUUUGGUUUUCUUUAUUUUGUUGAGUUAUAUCUGUGUAUUUUCUUGAAGUUUGCUGAACUUCCUUAAAACUAUUUUGAGUUGUCAGGCAGUUCAUAAAUCUCCAUUUCUUUAGGGUAGAUUUCUGGUGCUUUAUUUUGUUACUUUGGUGAUAGCAUGUCUCCCUGAUUGUUCUUGAUCCUUGUGGUCAUAUGUUGAUGUCUGUACAUUGGAUGAAGUGGUAAGGACUGAUUCUAAUCUUUGCAGUCUGACUUUGCCUGGAACAGCCGUUUACCAGUGAGCCCAUUCAGAGAUUCUGGGCAAGUUGUCUGGUGUGGUCUUCUGUGGGCAGGCUUGUUGCUGGAGUCCUUGAGCAGGCUGACCUAGUACCUAGGUCAGCAGAUGGAUGAGCCUGGUGCUUGCAUGCAUAGGAUUAAUCCUGGAACGUAGGUCCAGUGGAGUGGGCCAGUUGAUUGGGUCUGCAGGGGUACAACCAGAGCCUGAGUCCACAAGGGCAGGCCUGGAGCCUGCAUCCAGGGAGCUGACCUGAAGCCUAAAAACCUGCAGGGGUGGGCCUAGGUUCUGGGUCCAUAGGGACUGUUCUGGAGCCUCAGUCCGCCAGGGCAUGCCUGGCAUUGAGGCUUACUGAGGUAUGUGCCUGGAACCUGGGUCCACUGGAGCCUGGUGCUGAGGCACACAUGGACCUUGGGUCCAGGGGUAUUGUACUGGAGCCUGGGAUUGUGGGUGCUGGCAUGGGGGCAUAUAGAUCAGCCUGGAGCCAGGGGUAUAUAGAUACUGGCCUGGAGAUUAGUCUCUGAGGGCUCGCUUGGAUCCUGGGGCCAUGGGGGCUGGCCUAGAACCUGGGGCUGCAGGGGAUAUUGGAGCCUAGUCUGUGAGGGCCAGCCCAGUGCUGGGGUUUACUCAGAUGGGGCUGGACCAGGGUGGGGAGGGGGUGCCUGCUAGAGUGUGAGCUCAUGGGUGCAGGCCUGGCAGUGGGUAUGCUUAGAGCCUGUGUUCCUGGCGCAGGCCUGGAGUCUGGGGCUGGCAUGAUUUUGGGGUCCAAUGUUCUCCUUCCUCCAAGUAGAGGGUCUCUCUCUCUCUCUCUCUCUCUCUCUCUCCACCCUGUGCUGCCUGGGGCUGGGGAGGGGGUAAGCUAGGUAAUGUAAAAUUGUCCCUCCUAUCCUCUUUAGUACAUCUUAUUUCUGUGGUACACCAAGGUGCUGUAAUCUCUAGAGGUUCCUUAACUCUUGUGAAGGUAUUUUUGUGUGUGGACAGUUGUUUAAAUUCAUGUUUCUGCAGGGGGAUGAGUGCUGGAAAGUCCUAUUCUGACAUCCCAAGUUCCCUCAAUUUUUUUUAAAACAAUAGUUCCCUCCUAUAUUCCUUGUUUCUUUUUCUUGCUAUUUGAGUUUGGUGUUUUAACCAGUUCUUUUUAUCAAUGUAAAGUAUUUAAGGCUCUGACUUCUCCACUGAGCCAAUUAAGUUCUGCAAGGUGAUGGGACUAACAUUCUGUGCCGUCCCACAUGAGCAUUUCCCCUUUCAAAGUGAGAAGGAAGUAGGAUGGAAAAGCUGAGACAUAUUCCAAAUCGCUUUUGGUAACUUUACUUUUCAGGUUCACAUAUGUUAACAGAAUCAAUACACGAUCAACUUGUUAAGUGAUGUUACCAAAUACUUAUUUGGCAAAGUACAUCCUUGAUCAAUGCCUUAGUGAUUCUAUAGCUAAAAUAUUAGAUGUUUUAUUUUGGGGGGAGUGGGGAAAUAGCAUAGACCGUCAUUUAAACCUUCAGACAAUUAGUGACUGUGUUGUACAAAAAAGAUGGCGAAAGCCUUAUCUAGAUACCAAAAUUCACAUGUCAUCCAACCUAGCUUACUCUUAUUUUUUCCAUCAGUUUCUAGGGCUGUGCUAUCCAAUACUGUCGCAAAUAGCCCCAUGUGGCAUCGGAGCACUUAUGAUGUGGCUAGUCCAAACUGAGUGUUGAGGAAAGUGUAAAAUGCCAGAUUUUGAAGACUUUUACCUUAUGUUGAUGUUUUAGAUAUUUUGAGCUAAAUAAUAUGCUAACAUGACCUUUUUAAACUAAUGUGGUUGCUAGAAACUUUCAAAAUUAUGUACGUGACUCGCCUCUUUCUAGUGGACAGUGCUGCUCUGUCUUCCUCCAUUAGCUCCGUUCCCUCUAGAUACACGUAACGCUGAGCCCAACAAGAUCGCCUUCCUGUAACCAUUUGAAGAUAGCACCAUGAUGCUAGUUUAGUGUUUGCAUUUAUUUUAAAAAUACACAAAAUAGAAAUUUUUACAUCAAAGUGUGAUAACCUCACUUACACAUUGUUCCAUACUUACCUGGUUUUGUUUGCAUCUUUCUGCAAACAUUAAAAGGAGAUGGAUUUGAUUCUGAUUUUUUUGCUAUGGUUCAUGUAAACAGUUGAGACUGCUACAUAAAGUAGGUUGUUGUCAAAGGUGAAGUGGCCACAGAAUCCCAAGAAUAGAAUAAUUCAAUUUGGUUUAAUGAAAUUGGUGGAGGUCUUAGCAGAUAGAUAAUCCAAGACUAAAUAUUGUCUUCUAGGCAUUUUAAAAAUUAAGAACUUUGAGGUUUUCUUCAUGUUGUAAACAUAACUUAGACCUUGUUGGCAUUAAGUUUACAAAAGAAAAUAUUAAACCAUGAUUUUUAUCAUCCUGCCCAUGUCAGUAUACACUCUCUUUAUUAUGAGAAUGAAACCAAAUAAUAAGCAAAAUACAUCAGGAAUUUCAAAUUGUACUGCAAAGAAGGUCCCAGCUGGU